GGCAUGGUACUUGGUACAAUCUUUCUUCACAUGAUUAGUCCCCUUACAGAAGAAGCAACCUAGUUCAGUAAUUUCAACCUUAGGUUCCUUAUGUUGCUUAAUCUUGGGCUUCGCAACGCAACUUCCUUACCUUUCCUCUUCUUAGUUUCCUUAGAAGAGGAUGCGAAAUGAGCACUUUCUGUCUUAUCUAGCUUUAUCCUUUCCUCUUCUUGCACACAAUGUGAAAUGNNN
rnacentral:lncRNA from 1 species